rnacentral:rRNA from 1 species
AGUGAACGCUGGCGGCGUGCCUAAUACAUGCAAGUCGAACUGAGUGGCGCCCGGGUGAGUAAUGUAUAGCUAAUCUUCCCUACACUAGAGGACAACAGUUGGAAACGACUGCUAAUACUCUAUAGUGUAGGAUGAGGCUAUAUUGUAUCAGCUAGUUGGUGAGGUAAUGGCUCACCAAGGCUAUGACGCAUAACUGGUCUGAGAGGAUGAUCAGUCACACUGGAACUGAGACACUGUUCAGAAUACUACGGGAAGCAGCAGUAGGGAAUAUUACUCAAUGGGGGAAACCCGGAAGCAGCAACGCCGCGUGGAGGAUGACACUUUUAGGAGCGUAAACUCCGUUUGUUAGGGAAGCGGUACCUAACGAAUAAGCACCGGCUAACUACGUGCCAGCAGACGCGGUAAUAC